rnacentral:rRNA from 1 species
GACGAACGCUGGCGGCGUGCUUAACACAUGCAAGUCGAACGGUAAGGCCCUUCGGGGUACACGAGUGGCGAACGGGUGAGUAACACGUGGGUGAUCUGCCCUGCACUUCGGGAUAAGCCUGGGAAACUGGGUCUAAUACCGGAUAGGACCACUGCCUGCAUGGGUGGUGGUGGAAAGCUUUUGCGGUGUGGGAUGGGCCCGCGGCCUAUCAGCUUGUUGGUGGGGUGAUGGCCGACCAAGGCGACGACGGGUAGCCGGCCUGGGAGGGUGACCGGCCACACUGGGACUGAGAUACGGCCCAGACUCCUACGGGAGGCAGCAGUGGGGAAUAUUGCACAAUGGGCGCAAGCCUGAUGCAGCGACGCCGCGUGAGGGAUGACGGCCUUCGGGUUGUAAUCCUCUUUCAGCACCGACGAAGCGCAAGUGACGGUAGGUGCAGAAGAAGGACCGGCCAACUACGUGCCAGCAGCCGCCGCCG